rnacentral:rRNA from 1 species
UACGUAGGGUCCGAGCGUUGUCCGGAAUUACUGGGCGUAAAGAGCUCGUAGGUGGUUUGUCGCGUUGUUCGUGAAAAACUCACAGCUCAACUGUGGGCGUGCGGGCGAUACGGGCAGACUUGAGUACUGCAGGGGGAGACUGGAAUUCCUGGUGUAGCGGUGGAAUGCGCAGAUAUCAGGAGGAACACCGGUGGCGAAGGCGAGUCUCUGGACAUUUUCCUGACGCUGAGGCACGAAAGCCCAGGGGGGAGCAAAACGGGG